rnacentral:rRNA from 1 species
UAAUACCAGCUCCUCGAGUGGUCGGGGCGAUUAUUGGGCCUAAAGCAUCCGUAGCCUGUUCUGUAGGUCCUCUGUCAAAUCCAACGGCUUAACCGUUGGCCCGCAGAGGAUACCGCAGGACUAGGAGGCGGGAGAGGUGGACGGUACUCCACGUGUAGGGGUAAAAUCCUUUGAUCCGUGGAAGACCACCAGUGGCGAAGGCGGUCCACCAGAACGCGCUCGACGGUGAGGGAUGAAAGCUGGGGGAGCGAACCGGAUUAGAUACCCGGGUAGUCCCAGCCGUAAACGAUGCAAGCUAGAUGAUCCGGUCGCAAAUCGCGAUCGGAGUGUCGCAGGGAAGCCGUUAAGCUUGCCGCCUGGGGAGUACGGUCGCAAGACUGAAACUUAAAGGAAU